AAGAUCUGUGAUUGUGAAGGUAGCAGUCUCCAUGUGAGCUCAUUUUAUAGAGCAGUUAAGGUGGCGCACCCUCCUGAAAAGAAGGCAGCCAGGCAGGCUUACACUGUAAAGUUUACACUUCAUUCUCUCUUGAACCUUGGAAUUGUGAGAUUUAAAAGCAUUGGAUGCUGCUUCAGAAGGUAAGUUUCAGUCUGUGGUUACUUUGUAAAUAUUAGCUUAGGUUAUGCCCCCACCUCCCCCAAACAAAAAGAGCAUCCUACUACAUUUGGGCACAUUAAAAUCAAAAUUCUGAAAUAAACCAGUUUUGUUUCUGGAAUUGACUUUACCUUAAAGCACUGUCUCAUCUUCAGGAUAGCCUGCCUAAUUUGGACUUCUGUGAGGUCAGACAAUGUCACCACAAGAGUUGGAAACUGGCUGACUGACAGUGUGAUGACAUCUCAAGGGCUAGCUUUUACAUAGGUGAGAUGUACUUAAAUGUCAGGACUUAAAAGAAAUUUUAAUUACUUUUUAUUGAAAACUGCACUGAAUGCUAAAUGUUCACCUUUACAAUAAACAAAUACAGUAACGGUAACUCACACUAAAACAAAACAUACUUCUGAUAGCCAUUAUUUUCUGUUUGGGACAGUUUAAAGUUUUUCUUUUGUCACAAAAACAGGAAUGUACCUAUACAAAGGCUCAAAAUAGGCCAUCUUUAAAAACAAAAAGGCAAUGAUUCACAAAAGACUAUGAAUAGAACAUGUAACUAGCUGAUACAAAUCUAAUAGGAUUUGUUAAAAUCAGUCACAUCUAAUAGCACAUCUGAAGUGUUCUUGUAUAAAAUAUCACGUGAAGAAAAGAAUUUAUCAAUGUCUAAAAAAGUGGGUUUGUUCAUAGACAAUCUGACAAGUUACCAUAAAAAGUGUUUCCUGAGACAUAAGGAAAUGCAACAUUAUUCUUCUUGAACCCUUCUCGUCCAAGACUUUCCACUCAAUAAAAUAGCUGAGGAUCUGAAACUGAGAAAAUAUAUUUGAGUACAAACAGCUUGUGAAACUUAAUACUUUUUUCUUUUGUUCUUUUCCUUUUUUUGUUUUUUUUUUUUGUUUGUUUGUUGUUUUUGUUUUGUGUCAUCAGAGGGUUUUACUGAACUCACAACCGACUUUGCUGCUCAGAUGUGAAACCUUCUGUACAGGAGCUUUUACCUCUUCAAUCCUGUGCGCGGAGAUGUCUACACCAGCAAACAAUGUCCUCCCCAUCUUGUCUUAUUUUUAAUCUUCCUAUCAGCAAAGGAGGCACCAGCCCCUGAAGACCAAAGGGACUAGCCUUGAUGGGGAUUUCCUCUCAAUUUUUUUAUUGAUAUUCGGAGCUCUUGAUGCAACAUUCUACAACAAGCUGCGCAGGACCUGCUGUGCCCAGGGGAUUGAUUGAUAAAGGAAAAGCUCUAUUCUUUGUGAUUUGAUGCACAGAUGAAAAACUUAACACACAAUAACAGAAGUUGGUCGUUAAUAAUCACGUCCUAGUCUUUCCACACUUCUGGAAGCAGAUACCAUCUUGUUUUCUAGCUUUUGUAGCUUUCACACUGCAGUAUCAGUGAUGUCCAGGAUCAGUUUAAAAGACCAUCAAAUUCAUCCGUUUUCUACUGUCUCUUGGUCCCAAGUUUAUCUGAAUGAUUACCUUCACGUAUUCUCUGCUAUUGCUCGUUGGGGUGCUCUCGAUUGUCCCCGUGUUUUGUGGGCUGGUUUGGGGAGGGAGCUUGGGAAGGGUGUGCCACAGUGGGGAGGUUGUGAGUCACAGGGAUGCCUCCAGGGAUGAUCCCUUCCAUAGCUGGAGGAAGCCCUCCUGGAGCCACACCUACAAUGCCUGGUGGAUACCUAUG
rnacentral:lncRNA from 1 species